UGGCGUACGGGUGAGUAACACGUGACUAACCUACCCUCGAGUGGGGAAUAACCUCGGGAAACCGGGGCUAAUACCGCAUAACAUCUACGGAUCAAAUGCGUAAGCAGCUUGAGGAGGGGGUCGCGGCUGAUUAGCUAGUUGGUGAGGUAAUGGCUCACCAAGGCAAUGAUCAGUAGCCGGCCUGAGAGGGCGCACGGCCACACUGGAACUGAAACACGGUCCAG
rnacentral:rRNA from 1 species